ACAGGAUGCGAAUCUCGAAAGCCGGUCUCAGUUCGGAUUGGAGGCUGAAACUCGCCUCCAUGAAGUUGGAUUCGCUAGUAAUCGCGCAUCAGCCAUGGCGCGGUGAAUACGUUCCCGGGCCUUGUACACACCGCCCGUCAAGCCAUGGGAGUUGGGGGUGCCUGAAGUACGUGACCGCAAGGAGCGUCCUAGGGCAAAACCGAUGACUGGGGCUAAGUCGUAACAAGGUAGC
rnacentral:rRNA from 1 species